CUAAAGCUUCCAGACAAUUUAUUUAUCCCUUAGCAUAUAUCUGUUGAACACUACAUCAUGGUUUAGUUUGAUACAGUAAACUUCAGAACUCACUUACCAUUUAACCACAACAUCUUUAACCAAUCUACCACCGCAGUUGAAACCUCCCCUGGAUGAACUUACCACUAGACAACACGUUCUAGCUUGUUUCCCCCGCUACAUGCCAGUGCUCAUGGUGACCGUGACAAUGGGUGCCUGUGCACGUGCUCUGUGCGCCGUGGCUGCGUCUAGGGCGUCGUUUCUGCUUCGUCCUCUUCCCUCUCGUCAUCUUCGCGCGCGUGAGCAUGUAUGGCGUCUUCACCUCAUUGUUGCCACCCCUGGACAGCGCACCCUCCUUCGUCCGCUUCCUCACCGACGCUCGCCGCCGAACGCCCACAGGAGCACAGUGCGCCGACCAUCGUCUUCCUCCUCAUCCCUUCCUCCCUGCGCUCCCUUGGUCGCCCCUUCCCCGUGAGCUCUCCCUCCUGUUCCCUCUCGUCGCCUAACCCCGAGCUCAUGCGCGUGCACACACGUCCGCGGCGCCGGACAUGUAUCCUCGGCAACGCCAGCUCGGCCUCCUUGCCUCGCGCCUAUUUAAGCCCUCCCCCGAGACCCCCGAGCUCACCACCAGCCUCACAACCCUCCUCUUGUCCCGCCCAGCCUCUCCAAUGAGCCUCUGGAGCUCUCCUCGACCCCCAUGGCCGCCACGAAGCUCGGCUUAAAUCCGAGCUAUCCAAGCCCCCCCUCCCUCCUGAACUCACCAAAGGACCACCCGGACCCCAUAGCUCCUCUCCAGCCUCUCGUUUUCCCGCCGGAGUGCCCCAGGCCGCGACCCCAAGAUUCGGCCGCCGCAGCACGCUCUCUGUCUUCGCGAGGCGCCAUCGCUCCGUCCCUCCACGGCGCUCGAAGCUUGCUCAGAUGGACGCGACGCUCCUCGCCGGUCUCUCCAGUGGCCUCGGCGCGUCCGGAGACUGCCGGAGCUGCCCGGGCCAUCGCCGGUGUCGAGGCCCUCCUCUGUUCGGUCGUGCCCGGUCGGGAGGAGGAGGAAGGAGCCAGGAGGAGAGAGAUGGAUAAGCCCCUCCGAGAGAGAACGUUUUCCGGCGAUUCUUUCCGCGAGCUUCUCGCACGCCUUCCCGGUGAUUUCUUCUACCCCAGGCAAGCCACAACCACAAUUUGCAUGAUAGCCAUGCAGUAGCAUUUGUUUUCAACUUGAAUCUUUAAUAACUGUAUGUUUGUUUUGCUACUAUUGUCGUUAUUUCAGUUAUGCUUAUGGAUCAGUGAUUACCGUCACGCUAUGUUCUCUUGCACUCUGUUAACAUGUUCUACCUGCUAGAAUUACUUUCUUAUUGCCAUGCUUGAUAGUAGUACAUGUUGGGUCGGUCAUGUUCUUCGGUGCAUGACUAACGUCGGUUACCGAGUACUCUUGAUAUGCAUUGUUCCUUUGCUGUUAGUUGGUUAAGUGUUUACUCGGUAAUGUUAUUGAUGUGUUCUUACAUGGUAUUUAUUAUUGAUGAUAAUGGUCGUGUUAUGCUAUGAGUAGUGUUGUGCUUGUAAUAUUCAUGCUCGUCAUUAUGCUAUGCUCAGUUGGAUAUGAUUCAUGGUUGAUAUGGUGGAUAGUUAUGUUGCACCCCGUGCUUAUGUUGAUAUCAUGCUCAUGCAUUGAUGAUGCAUCAUCUUAUUUUAUCAUGGCUUAGCAUAUUGCAUUCAAGUUUAACCGGUUUAAAUUGAACUUGAACAACUGUUGGCUGAGUCAUGGUGCCACCAUAUCGAGCUGACCAGUGCAACCACGCUUACCUAAUGGGAAGGUCCUAACUGGGUCUAUUGUUGUGCCUCCCGCCGGUGCCUCCAACGAGGGAAGGUUAUGCGCGGGUGCUACCUUGGCCAGGUAGGACGACAUAAGCCUUGUGAGCCCGAGUUUGGUUAUGUGCACAUGUCCCUGUUUGGGACCGUUUAUUGUUUUUGCCAGUACGAUGGCCGUUGGUGUCUUUGGUAGGCACGGGGCCACCCAUGACUUAGCCCAGAGGGGAGUUAGUCGGAGUGGCCGGGAGAGUGUCAUGGCAGUAGGACGGUUUUGUCGGAACGCCGUUGGUCCACCCGAAUGGGAGUGCGAGGCCAUGGGUUCUGUGGUGUGGGUAAAGUGCGCUACCUCUGCAGAGUGUAUAUUAAAUCUAUUGAUAGCCGCGCCCGCGGAUAAGGGCCCAAUUUGUAGUUGGUCACACUAUGGGUCAACAAUAAUAAUAAUAACUUGCUUAAUAACAACCUUGGUUCGAUGAUGAGAAAGAGAUUGGUUGUGAUCGUGAGAUGAUCACCGUGGUAUCGAGGAUACCGAGUUGAUGGAUAUUUGUGGUGUUAUGCGAGAGUCAAUGGUGAAGAUCAAGCUCCUUGUGGUCAUGUAAUGAAUACUAUAGUAUGGUUAAUACCAAGCUUGAUUGGAUCCUGAGAUGAUCGUGUGAUGUCCGUGUUGGUUAUGAGGUAACCCGAACAGAGUAAGUUGGUGCAUGAUAACGUCAUCAUGUUGCAUGAUAGAGUCAUCAUGUUUAUAUGUUCAUGCCAUGCUCGUAUUGUUCUAGCUGUAUCAUGUUGUUCAUGCCAUGUUGAUGUAUCACGUUGUUCAUGCCAUGUUGUUCUAAUAAUAUCAUGUUAAUCCUUGUUAACCUGUAAUUGCCAUGUUGUUGUAUGUCUCGAUUGCCUUGGUUGCUGUGAGCUUGCAAGUACAUUCAAUGUACUGACCUGGCGUGUCAUGCCAGCUUGUAGGUCAUGCUGGUUUUGAUUGCUUGUUUGUCAUGGAUCCCUUG